rnacentral:rRNA from 1 species
UACGUAGGGUGCGAGCGUUGUCCGGAAUUAUUGGGCGUAAAGGGCUCGUAGGCGGUUUGUCGCGUCGGGAGUGAAAACUCAGGGCUUAACCCUGAGCCUGCUUCCGAUACGGGCAGACUAGAGGUAUGCAGGGGGAGAACGGAAUUCCUGGUGUAGCGGUGAAAUGCGCAGAUAUCAGGAGGAACACCGGUGGCGAAGGCGGUUCUCUGGGCAUUACCUGACGCUGAGGAGCGAAAGCGUGGGGAGCGAACAGG